AGAUUGAACGCUGGCGGCAUGCCUAACACAUGCAAGUCGAACGGGAGUAGCAAUACUCUAGUGGCGGACGGGUGAGGAAUACGUAGGAAUUUGCCCUUAAGUGGGGGAUAACCCGGGGAAACCCGGAUUAACACCGCAUGACCUCGAAAGAGCAAAGUGGGGGAUCGCAAGACCUCACGCUUUUGGAGAAGCCUACGUCGGAUUAGCUAGUUGGUGAGGUAAUGGCUCACCAAGGCGACGAUACAGUAGCG
rnacentral:rRNA from 1 species